GAUGAACGCUGGCGGCGUGCCUAAUACAUGCAAGUCGAACGCAUAGCGAAAGGUGCUUGCACCUUUCAAGUGAGUGGCGAACGGGUGAGUAACACGUGGACAACCUGCCUCAAGGCUGGGGAUAACAUUUGGAAACAGAUGCUAAUACCGAAUAAAACUUAGUGUCGCAUGACACAAAGUUAAAAGGCGCUUCGGCGUCACCUAGAGAUGGAUCCGCGGUGCAUUGGUUAGUUGGUGGGGUAAAGGCCUACCAAGACAAUGAUGCAUAGCCGAGUUGAGAGACUGAUCGGCCACAUUGGGACUGAGACACGGCCCAAACUCCUACGGGAGGCUGCAGUAGGGAGUCUUCCACAAUGGGCGAAAGCCUGAUGGAGCAACGCCGCGUGUGUGAUGAAGGCUUUCGGGUCGUAAAGCACUGUUGUAUGGGAAGAACAGCUAGAAUAGGAAAUGAUUUUAGUUUGACGGUACCAUACCAGAAAGGGACGGCUAAAUACGUG
rnacentral:rRNA from 1 species